GAUGAACGCUGGCGGCGUGCCUAAUACAUGCAAGUCGAGCGAACAGACGAGGAGCUUGCUCCUCUGACGUUAGCGGCGGACGGGUGAGUAACACGUGGAUAACCUACCUCUAAGACUGGGAUAACUUCGGGAAACAGGAGCUAAUACCGGAUAAUAUAUUGAACCGCAUGGUUCAAUAGUGAAUGACGGUUUUCCUGUCACUUUUAGAUGGAUCCGCGCCGGAUUAGCUAGUUGGUAAGGUAACGGCUUACCAAGGCAACGAUGCGUAGCCGACCUGAGAGGGUGAUCGGCCACACUGGAACUGAGACACGGUCCAGACUCCUACGGGAGGCAGCAGUAGGGAAUCUUCCGCAAAGGGCGAAAGCCUGACGGAGCAACGCCGCGUGAGUGAUGAAGGUCUUCGGAUCGUAAAACUCUGUUAUUAGGGAAGAACAAAUGUGGAAGUAACUAUGCACGUCUUGACGGUACCUAAUCAGAAAGCCACGGCUAACUACGUG
rnacentral:rRNA from 1 species